GGGUUGGUGGUGUACUGGAAACAUGUGUCCGCGGCAUCGGUCGUUUCCGCGGGCAAGACCCAGGUUCGAGUCCUGGCCAACUUG